CCCUUCAAAAGGGACAUGAAUAAAUGAAAGCAGAGUAAGCUGAACAUUGAAUGUAACAUUUUUUUUAGUUUUUUUUUCAUUUGCG
rnacentral:ribozyme from 1 species